rnacentral:rRNA from 1 species
AGGAUGAACGCUAGCUGGAGGCUUAAUACAUGCAAGUCGAGCGGGAUUGACCCAGCAAUGGGUCAUGAGAGCGGCGAACGGGUGAGUAACGCGUACACGACCUACCUUUAACUGGGGGAUAGCCCUGGGAAACUGGGAUUAAUACCGCAUAUAAUUCUGAUUUUAAAAGUUCAGAAUGAAAGUUCAGGCGGUUAAAGAUGGGUGUGCGUCUGAUUAGCUUGUUGGUAAGGUAACGGCUUACCAAGGCGAUGAUCAGUAGGGGGCGUGAGAGCGUGGUCCCCCCAGACGGGUACUGAGACACGGACCCGACUCCGUACGGGAGCAGCAGUAAGGAUAUGGACAAUGCCGCAGGCUGAUCCAGCCAUCCAGCGUGCAGGAAGAACGGCCCUAGUCGGGUUAUAAACCGUGU